rnacentral:rRNA from 1 species
UACGUAGGGGCAAGCGUUGUCCGGAUUUAUUGGGCGUAAAGAGCGUGUAGGCGGCCAUACAGGUCAGCUGUGAAAACUCGAGGCUCAACCUCGAGACGUCGGUUGAAACCGUAUGGCUAGAGUCCGGAAGAGGAGAGUGGAAUUCCCGGUGUAGCGGUGAAAUGCGCAGAUAUCGGAAAGAACACCCGUGGCGAAGGCGGCUCUCUGGGACGGUACUGACGCUGAGACGCGGAAAGCGUGGGGAGCGAACAGG